CCUACGGGUGGCAGCAGUAGGGAAUCUUCCACAAUGGGCGCAAGCCUGAUGGAGCAACGCCGCGUGGGUGAAGAAGGUCUUCGGAUCGUAAAACACUGUUGUUAGAGAAGAAAGUGUGUGAGAGUAUCUGUUCACGAUUCGACGGUAUCUACCCAGUAAGCCACGGCUAACUCAGUGCCAGCAGCCGCGGUAAUACGUAGGUGGCAAGCGUUAUCCGGAUUUAUUGGGCGUAAAGGGAACGCAGGCGGUUUUUUAAGUCUGAUGUGAAAUCCUUGGGCUUAACCGGAGUAGUGCAUUGGAAACUGGGAGACUUGAGUGCAGUAGAGGAGGGGUGAACUCCAUGUGUAGCGGUGAAAUGCGUAGAUAUAUGGAAGAACACCAGUGGCGAAGGCGGCUCCCUGG
rnacentral:rRNA from 1 species